rnacentral:rRNA from 1 species
GUGUUACUGACGCUCAUGCUCGAAGGCGCGGGUAUCGAACAGGAUUAGAUACCCUGGUAGUCCGCGCGGUAAACGAUGGAUGCCCGCUGUGCGCCCUUGAGGGUGCGCGGCCAAGCGAAAGCGUUAAGCAUCCCACCUGGGGAGUACGCCGGCAACGGUGAAACUCAAAGGAAUUGACGGGGGCCCGCACAAGCGGAGGAACAUGUGGUUUAAUUCGAUGAUACGCGAGGAACCUUACCCGGGCUUGAACUGCAGAGGAAGGAUCUGGAGACAGUGACGCCCUUCGGGGUCUCUGUGGAGGUGCUGCAUGGUUGUCGUCAGCUCGUGCCGUGAGGUGUCGGCUUAAGUGCCAUAACGAGCGCAACCCCUCUCCCCGGUUGCCAUCAGGUGAUGCUGGGCACUCCGUGGACACUGCCGCCGCAAGGUGGAGGAAGGUGGGGAUGACGUCAAAUCAGCACGGCCCUUACGUCCGGGGCUACACACGUGUUACAAUGGGGGGCACAGCGUGCCGGCGCUCCGCAAGGUGCGUCCAAUCAUGAAAUCCCCCCUCAGUUCGGACUGGGGUCUGCAACCCGACCCCACGAAGCUGGAUUGCUAGUA